rnacentral:lncRNA from 1 species
UCUCUGACAUCACCAGGAGCCCCAAAGAGCCCCUUCUCAUCUCCUUUAUCCGUUUAUCUCUUUAUGUCUUCCCUCUUUAUACCCCCUUGACUCCAUGGGUCAUCAUCUGAGUGCUCUUUUGUAAGUAUACUGAACUCCUUGGUUCUUUUGUAGCAUCUCCCUAGCAAAUGCUAGCCCAGAAUGGAGAACUUGACCCGGCCGCCGCUCCUCCAUGAAUGUCCCAUAUCUGCUCCAGAACCCAAGAUCACACAAUUCUAAAAUCUGUGAGCCUCAAUGGGAGAGGCAGAGGAAGGACAUCUCUGAAGGGCCUCCGAGGGCUCUGGAGUAUGAAGGUUGCAUGUGGAUAGAUGGAUGGAACCAAGAAGACUGAGGAGUGCAGAUAAGAACCAGAAGAGAUAACCUAGAAACAAAGAGAAGAGGUUUCAACAAGCGGUGGCCCUCCGCUGUUGCCCUUUUGAGCCAAGUCCUCCAUUCAGGUUGAUAUACGUGUCACCAGCCAGGGGAAGGACGGUGCCAGGGUCUGCUGCUCGCUCACUCCAUCCCUUCAGCGGUCAUCUCGUGCAAAGCCCAGCCUAGCUCAUCAGCCUUCACAGGGAGUGAGCAAAUGGCAGUUUCUUCAUCUAGAAAAGAUCAGUCAGCAUAACUGACAUGACCUGCAGAAGAAUGAGGAAGGUGGAGAAUCUUGAGGCCUCAGGAGAUAGAGACAAUUGGUUUGACGUGAGGUGGUGGAAAGAGCAGCAAGGCUAGGGAAGUGCAAUUGAAAAUGGAUGCCAAAAGUUUUUAAGGGCCACACCUUCAAGGAGACCAUGGAGGGAGGAAGGAAAGAAGACAUGGGUGUUGACACUGUGACAUCAAUUUCUUGGUCUCCCUGGCCCAGUGAUGACUUCUCCAAAGGUUUUGCUAUCAGUGACAGACUGUGGUUUCCAGCGGAGACUGGCACCGCUUUUGAGGAACUGCUGGAGGCUCUAACAGGUAGCACCUGGGCAAAGACCCACUGUGGAGCUGGAGAAUGCCUCCAGAUCCAAGGCUGACUUUAUAUCAGGAAAUACAGUUCAAGCAAUGGUUUCUCCUAAAACAAGCAAAGCAAGUUCUGUGUGGCAAGUGAACAAACCAAUUGUUUCUGGAUGCCUGAAGCCCAGAAGAGUGGCCAAAUAAGGAACCAACAAGACCCACACCCUCCCUAGGUGCAAAAGCUAAACAACAGAGAAAAAACUUUGGCUGAAGGCUAUCCAGCACUGUGCUGGCUGCUUUUUAGAUCUGAAGUCUUAUUUUCUUAGGAAAGACCUGUGAAGUCAAAAUUAUCUAUCCAAAGCUGGGCAUAGUUGUACCUUCCCAUAAUCCCAAACUCAGCAGGCUCAGGUUCAGACUCAGUUAAAGACCAGCCUUGACUACCCAGUGAGUUCCAGGCUGUCCUCAAAAGCAAUGAGACCUUGUCUCAAAUGAAAAAUGAAAGAAUAAUCCAUCCUCUUUUUGUGAAUGAAGAAG